AUCCUCAUCAUCUUUUACAUUAUUGGGAGUUAGAGGCUGCUAGGGCAGCUGUGAAGGUUAGCACUUACCCUUGUGUGGGUCGGGAGAGUCACUUCUGCUACAUGCUCAGCUUCCUCUGGCUCUGCCCCAGCAGUACUUUCGAGAUUGCUUGUGAGCUCAAGGGCCAGAUUCCAGUUUGACUCACAUCACAUUUACCCCAAUUUAAUUUCUAUGACUUGAGAGAAUCCGUUCUUUAUUUGCUCUAGUAUAAGAACAGAAUCAAACUUUUGGUCUCCUGGGAGUGUUGUUCCUUCUCUGUCCUCUGGCUAAGUGCUAUUAGGAACUCUUGCAACUGUUUGUUGCUUUAUUUUUAUGCACACGUCAGUGGCUCAAGCAACCUCUCAGUGUCUUCCAGUAAGAAAUGUGGCAAACUAACAUAAAAGGCCUCAAAGUCUCUGCAGGAAAUGUAAGAGAACUAAUUCUCAGUGUGACAGAAUCCUUGUCAAAUCUAGAUUUCCCUCUACUUCUCAUUCUUCCCCCAAAUUAGGAAAAAGUAUAUACAGUAUCCUUUUGUCUAAAAUUCCAGAAGCUGUCCUGUGGGGGUGUAGCCCAUAUCUAAUAACUCCUUUUCUUAAAUCUCUUUUAGUCUGCGUUGUGAAUUAGUUGGGAUUGUUACAAGCAUCAGCAUUUUUAUAAAUAACCAUGCUGUUGAAAUUGCCCUUGUCAACAUGGAAGUCUGCUUUUAUUCACUUACUGCAGAUAUUUGUUUACCUCUUCCACAGGAUGCCCCCAGCUGAAAGGCAAAAUCAAGCCACCCAAAGGAAAGGAACAGGACUGACUUUGUCCUAUUAACACGGCACGCACGUGGCUGGCAUUUGCAGGAACCUGCUAGCAGGAACUCUACACUCUACAAAUAAGUGUCACUAUGGAAACUAAUCAAAUGAACAGAAGUAUGAAAGAGACCGCCCCAGGAACAUGUCUAAGAGGCAUAAAUAUUACUAUCAACAAAUUCUUCAGUUUAAAGGGCCCCAUUGAAAAGGUUAAACAAGCUGGCCAGGUGUCUCAGGGCUCUGGAGCAAGUUCAUGACUUUUUCUCACCAGGUCAGUGGCAUCCGGGAGCACUGGGAAUCUGCAACGGGAGAACAGAGACUGCUUCGUUCCUGUGCACCUCAGAGCUCUUGGCUCCAAGAAAAACCUUGUUUAUAUCCUCCAGGAGGAUGGCUUCUUGGCAGACUGUUUUGUCUCCGACAGCUCGUGAGGCUCGGGAUAAAAAGCUGGGAAAGCGGCAACUCAAAUACAAAUUAGAAUUAAAGGUCUUAAACAAGCUAAGUUUGUUGGCCUGGGAGCCAAAAAUGUGUUUUAUUUCAAAUAUGUACACAAAAUUAAAAUAUUUUUCUUUUGUAGAAGAUUUUCAGCCACUUCUCUGAAGCAAAUGUUGGCGUCAUCAUCUCUGUUGUGCUGUUAACAUAAGGAACUCUGUAUGCACACCUCACUUUUACUGAUUUGUAAAAUAAUGUGUAAGAAAUUCUAGUUAUUCAUAAGCAAAUAGUAAAAUUCAUGCUUCUAUUGACCCAGA